GAAGUAAACCAGGUAAUCGCCGGCGGACAUCCGCAAGGAUCCGCGGGAGGAAAGUCCGAGCUCCACAGGGCAGGGUGCCGGUUAACAGCCGGUGGAGGCGACUCCAAGGAAAGUGCCACAGAAACAAACCGCUUGAGUAUUCACGCCAACGUGGAGACUCGAUCGUUAGCCGGAUGAGUUUCCGACAACCGAAUGCUUGUGAAUACUCAAGUAAGGGUGCAACGGUGCGGUAAGAGCGCACCAGCAGCAUGGAGACAUGCUGGCUAGGUAAACCCCACCUGGAGCAAGACCUAGUAGGGAAUCAGCGACUUCUCGAGUCGCAGCUGUGGCCCGCAGCGAUUCCGGGUAGGUCGCUUGAGCUUUGCAGCAAUGCAAAAGCCUAGAUAGAUGAUUACCACUCCACUUGCGGGAGCACGAAGGAAGUGCACGAGUACCGCUGGAGAACAGAACUCGGCUUACGGUUUACUUCCCGU
rnacentral:RNase_P_RNA from 1 species